UUUGAUUGAUUGCUUUUAAUUUUCUAUUGGGAUAGGUACACAAGCCACUCCAAGGAACAAGGGAGCUGCUGCAGCCUCCUCAUAAGCCUUACAAGGCAAUUCUAGUUUGUUUUGUUUUGCAUAUUUAUUAAUUUGCAAGCCAUCAGUUUUGGGUGUUUUUGUAUGCUGAAAGAUAAGAUUUUUAAACAUUGGAGAGUUGCAAACAUGUACUAUUAUAUAUUACGAUUUUCAGUGUUUCUUACCUUUGCACUUAUGGCAUGGUCAAGUAUAAUCAACCACGGGCUAGUUGCUUGCUAGCGGCGAGCCUGCAAUAGUAGGAGCUGGACACCUGACGAUCAAAAAGUAUUAAAUUCUUUGAAUGAUUUGGUGAUUGAUUUCCAAUUUCAUUGACUAGCCUCCGUUGGAGCUGCUUAUAUUACUUGUGCUGUUUUCAGAUGUAAUUACAUUUCUUACAAGUUUAAUGCGAAAGUGUUUCCAUGUCAAGGCUUCCUGCAUGCUGGCUUAUGUAUUGCCAGUUACUUGGUUAUUGGAGUUUAUAGAUUUUCAAUAAGUUUAUGUAAAUGUAAUCAUUUGUGUUCCAUUUAAUCUUCAACCAUCAAGAAUAGGAUUACUUGUCAUACAUGAAAACAUUCAAUUAUUAGGAUGCAGUUACAAGAAGG
rnacentral:lncRNA from 1 species